rnacentral:rRNA from 1 species
UACGUAGGUGGCAAGCGUUGUCCGGAUUUACUGGGCGUAAAGAGCGCGCAGGCGGUCAGAUAAGUCGAAUGUGAAAGCCCCCGGCUCAACUGGGGAGGGUCAUUCGAUACUGUUCGACUCGAAGGCAGGAGAGGGAAGUGGAAUUCCCGGUGUAGUGGUGAAAUGCGUAGAUAUCGGAAAGAACACCAACGGCGAAAGCACUCUGCUGGGCCGACACUGACACUGAGAGACGAAAGCUAGGGGAGCGAAUGGG